GCCGCACCUCGGCUGACCUCUGGCACGUCCUCCUCCGCCAGCCUCCUGCUGCUGUGAUGCUCUACAGCCCUGCAUCGACCCCCUAUGCCCUCUUUGAUUUGUCAUCACCGCUCACAACGUUGGUCGAUGUCGACCGCCCCUGGCACCUCCGGCCAUCUCCGGUGCCGGCUCGAGCUUCUCGUCUAUCUCGACUACCUCCUCGAGCCCUUGGUCGUCCUUGUUGGCAACCCCGACCACCCUUGCUACUUGCGCUAUGCUACUGUGGCUGUGUACUGGUGGUGAUAUGGUGUUGGUUGCUGCGAUGGCAUUCUGGUGGUGGUGUGGUGAUGUUGCUGGUGGUGGCAUGGUGUUGUGAUGCUGGUGAUGGUGCCCUGCUACUGCUACUGCCCCCUCGACCUUGACGCCGGCGGGACGGUGCUGCGGACGCAACCCCGGCGUCGGCCUCUUCCUCUAUUCGACUACACCACUGGAAAGAAGAACAAGAAGAUUGGAAGAUUGAGAAGAUUUAGAUUUAGGACUUCUUUUAUUUUAUUUUUGUAAUUUUCUCUAUUUCUAUUUAUGUGACUUGUAAAUAAUUGGAUAAUGUUAUUUAUGAUAGAGUUUAAAUUAUUUGUUCAUUUGGAAUUAUCAAA